GACGAACGCUGGCGGCGUGCCUAAUACAUGCAAGUCGAACGCAGUGGGGACGGGUGAGUAACACGUGCGUAACCUCCCAUCAGAGGGGAUAACACUUGGAAACAGGUGCUAAACCGAUACGGCUGGAUGGCCCCUCGGUGCAUUAGCGAGUUGUUGAGGUACCGGCUCACCAAGGCCACGAUGCAUAGCGGACCGGAGAGGGUGAGCGGCCACACUGGGACUGAGAAACGGCCGAGACUCCUACGGGAGGCAGCAGUGGGGAAUAUUGAACAAUGGGCGCAAGCCUGAUGCAGCCAUGCCGCGUGUAUGAAGAAGGCCUUAGGGUUGUAAAGUACUUUCAGCGGGGAGGCGUUACCCGCAGAAGAAGCACAGGCUAACUCAGUGCCAGCAGCCACGGUAAUAC
rnacentral:rRNA from 1 species